CACAAGGUUUUUUGGAGCUAAUCGCGGGCGGAGCGGCUGCGCUGUACGGAGCAUGGAAACGCCGCCGGAGGAGGGGGAAGCGAGCCGGUGUGCUCGUCAAGCUCCGGCAGCGCGGAUUUUGAACCCCGCUCCCAUCGAUCCAUCUUGCUAAUCUAUGAUCUCUGCCAAACAAGAUGGAUGAACUUCUUCUAAUCACAAACACCAACAAAACCUUUGCACGUUCUGCUGCGCUGUGCUUCACUGAAACCUGGCUCAGUGACCGCCACCCGGAUUCCGCGCUACAUCUACCCGGCUUCCGCCUUCUCCGAGCCGACCGCGACACGGACCUAUCAGGGAAAUCGAAAGGUGGUGGGAUUUGCUUCUAUAUCAACGAAGAAUGGUGCACUGAUGUCACGAAGCUCGACGCACACUGCAGCCCGGACCUGGAGUCGCUGUCUUUAAACUGCAAGCCAUUCUACUCGCCACAUCCACGAACAGGACGUGAGACGGCUCUUCAAGCAGCAAAAGAUCAAGAAAGCUCCGGGGCCCGACAAAGUGUCCCCCUCCUGCCUGAAAGUCUGCGCUGACCAGCUGGCUCCGGUCUUCACACAAAUCUUCAACAGAUCCCUGGAGCUGUGUGAGGUCCCAUCCUGCUUCAAACAGUCUACCAUCAUCCCAGUUCCCAAGAAAUCGGCAACAUCGGAACUGAACGACUACAGGCCUGUCGCCCUGACGUCUGUGGUCAUGAAGUCCUUUGAACGCCUUGUGCUGAAUCACCUAAAGAACGUCACUGGACCCCAGC